rnacentral:rRNA from 1 species
UGAGUACGAGAUGCUACGGCAUCGAAGCAGUCUAUGUCAUACUUCCAAGAAAAGCUCGCACUGUCAAAAACAAAUUAAUGCCUGUACCAUAACCGACACAGGUGGGUAGGUAGAGUAUACUAAGGGGCGCGAGAUAACUCUCUCUAAGGAACUCGGCAAAAUAACUCCGUAACUUCGGGAGAAGGAGUGCCUUUUUAAGGCUGCAAUAACCAGAUCCAAGCAACUGUUUAUCAAAAACACAGGUCUCCGCUAAGUCGUAAGACGAUGUAUGGGGGCUGACGCCUGCCCAGUGCCAGAAGGUUAAAGAAGUUGGUUAGCCCUGCGAAGCUGAUGACUGAAGCCCUGGUGAAUGGCGGCCGUAACUAUAACGGUCCUAAGGUAGCGAAAUUCCUUGUCGGGUAAGUUCCGACCCGCACGAAAGGCGUAAUGAUUUGGAUACUGUCUCGGAGAGGGACUCGGUGAAAUAGACUUGUCUGUGAAGAUGCGGACUACCUGCACCAGGACAGAAAGACCCUAUGAAGCUUUACUGUAACUUGAGAUUGAAAUUGGACUUUAUUUGCGCAGUAUAGGUGGGAGGCGUUGAAAAUAUUCUUGCGGGAAUAUCGGAGCCAUCAGUGAGAUACCACUCUUGUAAUGUUAGAUUUCUAACUUUGUAUCAUUAUCUGGUCAAAGAACAGUCUCAGGCGGGCAGUUUGACUGGGGCGGUCGCCUCCCAAAUGGUAACGGAGGCGCACAAAGGUUUCCUCUGAACGGGUAGAAAUCGUAUCUAGGGUGUAAAGGCAUAAGGAAGCUUGACUGUGAGACUUACAAGUCGAGCAGGGACGAAAGUCGGUCUUAGUGAUCUGACGGUGCUGAGUGGAAAGGCCGUCACUCAACGGAUAAAAGUUACUCUAGGAUAACAGGCUGAUCUCCCCCAAGAGUUCACAUCGACGGGGAGGUUUGGCACCUCGAUGUCGGCUCAUCGCAUCCUGGGGCGGUAGUACGUCCCAAGGGUUGGGCUGUUCGCCCAUGAAAGCGGUACGCGAGCUGGGUUCAGAACGUCGUGAGACAGUUCGGUCCAUAUCCGGUGUAGGCGUUAGAAUAUUGAGAGGAGCCUUCUUUAGUACGAGAGGACCGAGAAGGACAUACCUCUGGUGUACCAGUUAUCGUGCCAACGGUAAACGCUGGGUAGCUAUGUAUGGAGUGGAUAACCGCUGAAAGCAUCUAAGUGGGAAGCCCACCUCAAGAUAAG